GUCCGAUUGUUUUAGUAAUUGUAUGUUGACCAGUAAUGAUUCUUGGUCAACAUAACAACUAAAACAAUCGGACAUUGCUAGGUUUUGAUCAUUUUCUUUGAUUAUAAUAUAAAGUAAUGUUAAAAUCAGUUAGGCCACUCUGGCUCUCAUGGCCUUAAUUGUAGCAUGGAGCUUAAAAUUAAAUUAUCCGGACGACCUGUUAAUAGUCAAAGUCGAGAAAUAAAUGCUAAUAUGUUAGCCUUCAUGAAAAAGGAAGCUGAAUAAGGUGUCAAAAUACCUCAUCAAAGCAUAAAAGAGCGUGUGGUAGACGCGACAGGUGUUUCCAAAAGUACAAUAAUCUGUAGAGUCUCAGUUAAACUAAAAUUGAACAAGUUAUGCCUUAUAGAAAGUAGUAAACAAAUACCUAUACCAUAUUUUAUAUGGUAUCCAUAGCAGCUUCUUUAUGCUGGCACUAAUGGAAUAUAUGUAAUUGCAGGACAAUGCUCCUCGUUUUCCUCUCCAAGAAAACAUUGUAACAGAAAAAAGAAGCAAACUUUUGAAGACAUUGACAAAGAGGUGUUAAGGCGUAUUAUUCAUAUUUGCAUACGAGCGAUGCAUAAGUACCUCAGCU
rnacentral:lncRNA from 1 species